rnacentral:rRNA from 1 species
AUAUUGGUCAAUGGCCUAACGGCUGAACUGGCAACUUGGAGAAGUGGCAAGUCUUCCAGUAUGGGGAGCAAAACAGCUAUGGGUCAAGUCCGAUAUCUUUAGGAGAAGUCUUAUUGUGAGGGCGAGUUAUAUAACACCAUAGGACUGGCCGUCCCAUAUGAAAAGAUUAUAUUAGAAUUGAAUGAAGCUUUGUUUAUAUAUUGAUAAUGACAGUAUAUAUAUCGUGUCUUGACUAAUUGCGUGCCAGCAGUCGCGGUAAUACGUAAGAGACUAGUGUUAUUCAUCUUAAUUAGGUUUAAAGGGUACCCAGACGGUCAAUAUAGCUUAUAAAAUGUUAGUACUUGACUAGAGUUUUAUGUAAGAGGGCAGUACUUGAGGAGGAGAGAUGAAAUUUCGUGAUACCAAAGGGACUCUGUAAAGGCGAAGGCAGCCCUCUAUGUAAAAACUGACGUUGAAGGACGAAGGCACAGAGAACAAACAGGAUUAGAUACCCAAGUAGUCUUUGCAGUAAAUGAUGAAUGCCAUAGGUUAGAUUGGUCAAUUAUAGUCUAGGGUUAGUCUAGCAAACUAAUACCCUAUGCUAUAAUCCUAAUAUCUGGUCUAUAAAUGAAAGUGUAAGCAUUUCACCUCAAGAGUAAUGUGGCAACGCAGGAACUGAAAUCACUAGACCGUUUCUGACACCAGUAGUGAAGUAUGUUAUUUAAUUC